GACGAACGCUGGCGGCGGGCUUAACACAUGCAAGUCGAACGGAAAGGCCCUGCUUGUGUGGGGUGCUCGAGUGGCGAACGGGUGAGGAACACGUGAGUAACCUGCCCUUGACUUUGGGAUAACUUCAGGAAACUGGGGCUAAUACCGGAUAGGAGCCCCUGUUGCAUGGUGGGGGUGGGAAAGUUUGGGCGGUUGGGGAUGGACGCGCGGCUUAUCAGCUUGUUGGUGGGGUAGUGGCUUACCAAGGCAUUGACGGGUAGCCGGCCGGAGAGGGUGGGCGGCCACCAUGGGCCUGCGAUACGGCCCAGACUCCUACGGUAGGCAGCAGUGGGGAAUAUUGCACAAUGGGCGCACGCCUGAUGCAGCAACGCCGCGUGCGUGAUGACGGCCUUCGGGUUGUAAACCGCUUUCGCCUGUGACGAAGCGUGAGUGACGGUAAUGGGUAAAGAAGCACCGGCUAACUACGUG
rnacentral:rRNA from 1 species